rnacentral:lncRNA from 1 species
CUCACGUCCAACUACCUAUUUUGUUGUUGUUUUGAUCAUCUCCAUGAAUCGGUGGUUAGUUAGUAGUGUUCUGGUUGAAUGGAUGGUUAGUUAGUAGUGUUCUGGUUGAAUGGAUGGUUAGUUAGUAGUGAUCUGGUUGAAUGGAUGGUUAGUUAGUAGUGUUCUGAUUGAAUGGAUGGGUAGUUAGUAGUAUUCUGUUUGAAUGGAUGGUUAGUUAGUAGUGUUCUGGUUGAAUGGAUAGUAAGUUAGUAGUGUUCUGGUUGAAUGGAUGCUUAGUUAGUAGAGUUCUGAUUGAAUGGAUGGUUAGUUAGUAGUGUUCUGGUUGAAUGGAUGGUUAGUUAGUAGUUAGUGUUCUGGUUGAAUGGAUAGUUAGUUAGUAGUGUUCUGGUUGAAUGGAUGGUUAGUUAGUAGUGUUCUGAUUGAAUGGAUGGGUAGUUAGUAGUAUUCUGGUUGAAUGGAUGGUUAGUUGGUAAUGUUGUGGUUGAAUGGAUGGUUAGUUAGUGGUGUUCUGGUUGAAUGGAUGGUUACUAGUGUUCUGGUUGAAUGGAUGGUUAGUUAGUGGUGUUCUGGUUGUGUUCUUGUUGAAUGGAUGGUUAGUUAGUAGUGUUCUGGUUGAAUGGAUGGUUACUAGUGUUCUGGUUGAAUGGAUAGUUAGUUAGUGGAGUUCUGGUUGAAUUGAUGGUUAGUUAGUGGUGUUCUGGUUGUCUUCUGGUUGAAUGGAUGGUUAGUUAGUGGAGUUCUGGUUGAAUUGAUGGUUAGUUAGUGGUGUUCUGGUUGUGUUCUGGUUGAUUGGAUGGUUAGUUAGUGGUGUUCUGGUUGAAUGGAUGGUUAGUUAGUGGUGCUCUGGUUGAAUGGAUGGUUAGUUAUUGGUGUUUUGGAUGAUUAGUUAGUGGUGUUCUGGUUGAAUGGAUGGUUAGUUAGUGGUGUUUUGGAUGAUUAGUUAGUGGUGUUCUGGUUGAAUGGAUGGUUAGUUAGUGGUGUUUUGGAUGAUUAGUUAGU